rnacentral:pre_miRNA from 1 species
CCGCUGCAGCCGGUCAGGUGCACCCGGAGGUGCCGGAGCGGUUGGGGUUGCGGGGCCCGCAGGUAGCUGCCGUUGAGCCCGACGCUGCUGCCGCCGCGCCGGUGCUGCUGCGCGGCAGCACCUGACCGGCUGCAGCAGCGUCGGGCUCGACCGCAGCCACCUGCGGGUCCCGCAGCCCCAGCAGCUACCGACUGCACCUGACCGGCUGCACCUGACCGGCUGCAGGG